GGCCGUGUGCCCGAGUGGCUUAGGGGCUCGCCUGCAAAGCGAGUUACGCUGGUUCGAUUCCAGUCACGGCCUCCA
rnacentral:tRNA from 1 species